rnacentral:rRNA from 1 species
CCUACGGGGGGCAGCAGUGAGGAAUAUUGGUCAAUGGCCGGAAGGCUGAACCAGCCAAGCCGCGUGAAGGACGAAGGUGCCAAGCAUUGUAAACUUCUUUUGUCAAGGGACAAAAUCAGGCUCGAGAGCCUGACCGAAGGUACUAGAAGAAAAAGCAACGGCUAACUCCGUGUCGGCAGCCGCGGUAAUACGGAGGAUGCGAGCUUUAUCCGGAUUUAUUGGGUUAAAAGGGUGCGUAGGCGGGCUGUUAAGUCAGUGGUAAAAGCCCGGGGCUCAACCCCGGCGAGCCGUUGAAACUGGCUGUCUUGAGAUGUCUAGAGGUAUGCAGAAUGCGAAGUGUAGCGGUGAAAUGCUUAGAGAUUGCGCAGAACUCCGAUUGCGAAGGCAGCACACCGGCGGCGAGCUGACGCUGAGGCACGAAAGCGUGGGUAUCGAACAGGAUUAGAUACCCUAGUAGUC